rnacentral:rRNA from 1 species
UAGGGAAUCUUCGGCAAUGGACGAAAGUCUGACCGAGCAACGCCGCGUGAGGGAAGAAGGUUUUCGGAUCGUAAAACUCUGUUGUUAGAGAAGAACAAGGACGUUAGUAACUGAACGUCCCCUGACGGUAUCUAACCAGAAAGCCACGGCUAACUACGUGCCAGCAGCCGCGGUAAUACGUAGGUGGCAAGCGUUGUCCGGAUUUAUUGGGCGUAAAGCGAGCGCAGGCGGUUUCUUAAGUCUGAUGUGAAAGCCCCCGGCUCAACCGGGGAGGGUCAUUGGAAACUGGGGGACUUGAGUGCAGAAGAGGAGAGUGGAAUUCCAUGUGUAGCGGUGAAAUGCGUAGAUAUAUGGAGGAACACCAGUGGCGAAGGCGGCUCUCUGGUCUGUAACUGACGCUGGGGCUCGAAAGCGUGGGGAGCAAACAGG